GAUCUUAUAGUUAAAUGGUUAGAACGUUAGAUCUUCAUUCUAAAAAUGUAGGUUCAAUUCCUACUAAGAUUA
rnacentral:tRNA from 1 species